rnacentral:misc_RNA from 1 species
GUCUCGUUAUUUCUGUUUGGCUCGCCAGGACCGAAAUGAACAUCUUCAAGAAAUCCCGCUCCCGCUCGCCGUCCUUCGAGAUCCCCCGACUGUGCUUGCCGCGACAAAAGAGAUCCACCUCCGUGGACUCCUCCUCUGUGGUGGCGGCGGCCUCCUCCUCUUCCUCCAACAGCCUGGACGUCCCCUUCGAGAACCGGACCCGCUCUUCGAGCUUUGAUGCCAGCAGCCUUCAUGGCGUCAACAUCGACUUGCUGCAGGUGCCCAUUUCCAAGAGUAGCGGGGGCCACCGCUCUCACUCCUUCGACUCUGCGGCGCCAUGGAGUCCCGUGUCGUCCGAUGACAACAUCUCGGACAAGGAGACAUCGUACAGCCUUCAGAUCCCCAAGUACCAGAAGCGGCGCUCCUCGCUCGAGAUCCCCAAGCUCUGCAUGCACUGCGUGCACCUUGAGGCCCUACAGAAGGAGCAGGAGAAGAAGGAACGCAAUUCGUCCCCCAGCGCGGUCUUCUACCUGGGCGAGGCUGGCCGCAACGAGGGUAACAGCGCUGCUUCUUCUCCUUCGACCAGCCCCUCGGGUUCGGAUUGGGAGUCGGAUGGGUCGUAUCUGAGUGACUCGGAAGGGAGCGAGAGCGCUGCCGACGGCAGUGUCGGGGAUGUCAGUGCGGUCGUCAUCCAUCGUCUGGAACCGGCAUCGCCGCAGCAGCAGGGUAGUGAUGCUAGCAGCCAGACGGGGUCAUACACGGACGUGGUGACCCUAGCCGUGCCUACCAUUAAGCAGCGUUCUUCCUCCAUGGACGCGGGUUACAUCACGCGGCCUCCGGAAAGCCCCCGCAAGGCCUCCCUGGACGAGCGCACCCUGCACGCCGUGCAGCAACAGAUCCGAUCCAACUCCGUGGGCGCCUGCCCUACCGCCGGACGCAAAGAGGUGUCGCAGCUCAGCCUUCUGGCCAAUAUCUCGUUGAGUGUCAGGAAAGCGAUAGCCAAGAGCAACUUCAGUCACACAACCUACCUCCACCCGCAGCAUGCCGAGUACCCGGGGUACAAGAAGCCAGACGUCAAAUCACUUAUUGACUGGACGGACCAGGCCGCCAACAGCGACCACCUGUGGGUGGAGACCAAUGCCUCCGGGGACUACUGCUAUGCAAUGGAUCUCGACUGUAAGAAAACAGGUCCGCGGAAGAAAUGCAUCGCCUGCAAAAUUGUUGCCCACACUGCCUGCUUGCCCCUCCUAGAACAGAAAAAUCUGCGGUGUAAACCAACAUUUCGAGAAGCGGGUAUCAGGAACUACAGAGAGCAAACCUUUAUGCGCCAUCAUUGGGUCCAUCGCCGGCGGCAGGAAGGAAAGUGCAAGCAGUGCGGAAAGUCCUUUCAACAGAGGUUUGCAUUUCCUAGCAAGGAUAUCAUUGCAAUCAGCUGUUCAUGGUGCAAGACAGCCUACCACAACAAAACCACCUGCUUCAUGAUGCAGCAGAUUGAGGAACAGUGCACCUUGGGUAUACAUGCCAGUAUCAUCAUUCCCCCAUCAUGGAUAAUAAAACUACCCAAAAAGGGUUCAUUCAAAUCCUCCAUGCGAUCCAGCAAGAAACGGAAAGCUUCAUUAAGGAAGCGGAAAAGCAAAGAUGACUAUCGACCAUUCAUCAUCAAACCCAUUCCAUCACCCCUUAUUAAGCCUGUUCUUGUCUUCAUCAACCCAAAGAGUGGUGGCAACCAAGGAGCAAAACUGUACCACAAGUUCUGCUGGUUACUGAACCCUAGGCAGGUGUUUGACCUGUCGCAAGGUGGACCUCGUUUUGGGUUAGAUCUGUUCAAGAAAGUGCCUAACAUUCGAAUACUUGCUGCUGGUGGAGAUGGAACCGUUGGUUGGAUCCUUUCAACCAUCGACAGUCUGGCACUCAAUCCACCUCCACCUGUGGGAAUCUUACCCAUUGGGACAGGCAAUGAUCUCGCCAGAACCUUGAACUGGGGAGGGGGGUACACAGAUGAACCUAUCUCCAAAAUCUUAUGCAAUGUAGAGGAAGGUCAAGUGGUGCAACUAGACAGGUGGAACAUCGACGUGGAGGAGAACGAUGAGGAAGGAGUUGAAUGUGCAGAGGAAGGCAUGGCGUCGGAUCUGCCUCUUAGUGUCUUCAACAACUACUUCAGCUUAGGAGCCGACGCUCACGUGGCUCUUGAGUUUCAUGAAUCUCGAGAGGCCAAUCCAGAGAAGUUCAACAGUCGGUUCAGAAAUAAAAUGUUUUAUGCUGGGGCGGGUGGGAGAGAUCUUUUAAAAAGGAGUUGGAAGGGAUUUGCUGACCACAUCCAUGUAGAGUGUGAUGGUGUGGACCUGACCCAGAAGAUUCAGGACAUGAAAUUGCACUGUCUGGUCAUCUUAAACAUUCCAAGGUAUGCAAGUGGUACCUUACCAUGGGGUAACCCUAAUGCUGUGGGAUUUGAACCCCAACUACAUGAUGAUGGGUACUUGGAGGUGCUUGGCUUCACAUAUUCCUCACUGGCUACUCUUCAUGUUGGAGGUCACGGAGAACGAUUAACUCAGUGUCGGGAAGUUCGGGUCAAGACCUUCAAGUCUAUGCCCAUGCAGGUUGAUGGUGAGCCAUGCCGUCUGCGUCCCUCAAAAAUCAACAUCAACUUCCGCAACCAGGCCAACAUGAUCGUCAAACCAAAACGACGGGGCUCCAUGCCCAUUGCAAAUGAUCCUGAUUUUGCUUUUUUCAGUCCACCUUCCCUCCCAGAGCGGCUUCGCAUUCAAGUCAGCCGUAUCAGCAUGGCCGACUACGAAGCCUUACAAUAUGAUAAAGAAAAGUUACGGGCAGCUUCGGUCCCCUUGGGCAUCAUCGUAGUGGAGAACAAUGCUGACCUGGAGCAGGUGCGCUACCAGAUCAACAAAUUACAGGUGGUGGAUUACCAAGGGACAGAUGCUCAAGGAGGCAGCAGCGUGCCAUCACAGCAGCUGUCACAGAAAUGGUGCUUCCUGGAUUCCACCACAGCAGAGAAGUUCUUCCGCAUCGACAGAUCCCAGGAGUCAUUACAUUUUAUCACAGACAUUUCUUCCGAAGACCUGUACAUUAUGGACCCUGAACUGAGUCCACGAGUGCGUCUUUCUCCAGGUCUUUCAGGCGCUGGCGCCCCCAAUGGCCAUGGAGAGACAACCCCAACGGGCAUUUCAGUUCGCUCCUGUAUGUCGGCUUCCUCCUCAGCUAUGUCAUUUGCCUUUCCAGUCACCCCACCCAAGUCACCCAUGCUUCGGUCACCAGAGUUUCCUACCUUGCCUCUGCUGGUGGAGAACAUGGAGAACUUCCUACUAGUGCCUCCGCCCCCUGGCCCCAACAGCAGGUCUCCCCCUCAGCCCUUUUCUCAGAACCAGGGACACCUAACUCUACCACAGGACACGAUAAGCACUAUAACUUCAACCUUGUCUCCCAUGCGACUACUGAAGCUGUGCCACGCAUAACCUCACCAUUAGAGAAAGCAUUACUUGAUGCUUCUAAAAGAGGGGAACUGCAAAAGCUGUGUGAAGCUUACCACAAAGGUGCUGACCUGUUGGUGACAGACCAGUAUGGUAUGACUGCUCUACAUCACGCUGCACGCUUUGGUCACAAAAAUACUGUCAA